rnacentral:rRNA from 1 species
AUUGAACGCUGGCGGCAUGCCUAACACAUGCAAGUCGAACGAGUGGCGGACGGGUGAGUAAUGUCUGGGAAACUGCCUGAUGGAGGGGGAUAACUACUGGAAACGGUAGCUAAUACCGCAUACUAUCAGAUGUGCCCAGAUGGGAUUAGCUAGUUGGUGGGGUAAAGGCUCACCAAGGCAACGAUCCCUAGCUGGUCUGAGAGGAUGACCAGCCACACUGGAACUGAGACACGGUCCAGACUCCUACGGGAGGCAGCAGUGGGGAAUAUUGGACAAUGGGGGAAAGCCUGAUGCAGCCAUGCCGCGUGUAUGAAGAAGGCCUUCGGGUUGUAAAGUACUUUCAGCAGGGAGGCGUUACCUGCAGAAGAAGCACCGGCUAACUCCGUGCCAGCAGCCGCGGUAAUUC